rnacentral:rRNA from 1 species
GACGAACGCUGGCGGCGUGCUUAACACAUGCAAGUCGAACGGAAAGGCCCUGCUUUUGUGGGGUGCUCGAGUGGCGAACGGGUGAGUAACACGUGAGUAACCUGCCCUUGACUUUGGGAUAACUUCAGGAAACUGGGGCUAAUACCGGAUAGGAGCUCCUGCUGCAUGGUGGGGGUUGGAAAGUUUCGGCGGUUGGGGAUGGACUCGCGGCUUAUCAGCUUGUUGGUGGGGUAGUGGCUUACCAAGGCUUUGACGGGUAGCCGGCCUGAGAGGGUGACCGGCCACAUUGGGACUGAGAUACGGCCCAGACUCCUACGGGAGGCAGCAGUGGGGAAUAUUGCACAAUGGGCGGAAGCCUGAUGCAGCAACGCCGCGUGCGGGAUGACGGCCUUCGGGUUGUAAACCGCUUUCGCCUGUGACGAAGCGUGAGUGACGGUAAUGGGUAAAGAAGCACCGGCUAACUACGUGCCAGCAGCCGCGGUGAUACGUUAGGGUGCGAGCGUUGUCCGGAUUUUAUUGGGCGUAAAGGGCUCGUAAGGGGUUGAUCGCGUCGGAAGUGUAAUCUUGGGGCUUAACCCUGAGCGUGCUUUCGAUACGGGUUGACUUGAGGAAGGUAGGGGGAGAAUGGAAUUCCUGGUGGAGCGGUGGAAUGCGCAGAUAUCAGGAGGAACACCAGUGGCGAAGGCGGUUCUCUGGGCCUUUCCUGACGCUGAGGAGCGAAAGCGUGGGGAGCGAACAGGCUUAGAUACCCUGGUAGUCCACGCUGUAAACGGUGGGUACUAGGUGUGGGGUCCAUUCCACGGGUUCCGUGCCGUAGCUAACGCUUUAAGUACCCCGCCUGGGGAGUACGGCCGCAAGGCUAAAACUCAAAGGAAUUGACGGGGCCCCGCACAAGCGGCGGAGCAUGCGGAUUAAUUCGAUGCAACGCGUAGAACCUUACCUGGGUUUGACAUGGAUCGGGAGUACUCAGAGAUGGGUGUGCCUCUUUUGGGGUCGGUUCACAGGUGGUGCAUGGCUGUCGUCAGCUCGUGUCGUGAGAUGUUGGGUUAAGUCCCGCAACGAGCGCAACCCUUGUUCACUGUUGCCAGCACGUUAUGGUGGGGACUCAGUGGAGACCGCCGGGGUCAACUCGGAGGAAGGUGGGGAUGACGUCAAGUCAUCAUGCCCCUUAUGUCCAGGGCUUCACGCAUGCUACAAUGGCUGGUACAGAGAGUGGCGAGCCUGUGAGGGUGAGCGAAUCUCGGAAAGCCGGUCUCAGUUCGGAUUGGGGUCUGCAACUCGACCUCAUGAAGUCGGAGUCGCUAGUAAUCGCAGAUCAGCAACGCUGCGGUGAAUACGUUCCCGGGGCU